GUUUAUUAAAUGACAAAAAAAAAAGCUGCCUGGAGAAAACCUUGCUUUGUCAGCCUCCACUCCUGCUAGGCAGUCAGGUGAAGAGAAAAAGGAGGGAAAGGAGAGAGACACUGGCCUCACAGACCCGGAUUUUUCAGUGUCCACAUGACUCAGUCGGUUUUAGUAGCUUCUACACACAAAAAGUGCCUCAGACACAUGGUGCAAAUACCCUUCUUUCUCAGCUGCAGCAUCCAUCUUCCCCAAGUAGAGAAGUCAAACCCUGCCUCUGCUCUCAAAGUCUAUUAGCUGCCUGCUCAAAUUAGGCUUGCAGUAAGCAAUGAAGCAGAGAGAUGGUUUUCUUUAAUUGUCCUUUAUGGAAUUCCGAUGAAGGCAUGACAGUCACUAAUCUGAAGUCCUUGAGGAAAUAAGACAAAAACCCUUGCAGAAAUGUGCCUGGGCUAAUCUGAGAUAUAAAGCAAGGAGAACAUUAUGAGGGAUCUGAUUUUUGCCUGUCCCCACCACUGAUUCAUUGAAAUGCUUUCUGCAAGUCAUUUAUGGAGCAUCAGUGUAGUCACUGAUGGAGGAAAAACAAUAUUUAUUUCCUUUCACAGAAAUGUCCCGAGUCUUAGUAACCACUGCUUGUGCAAAUCUUUGGAUGAAAGGAAACAUAAGGGUUCAAAGCUCUUAUUAUAUACUGCUUGUUACACUUUAUAACAAAUGUCAUCACAGUAGGUAGGAAUUAACAUUCCAAAGCCCAGAGGGUGGAUACCUCUUCAUUCCCAUAUAUAUAAAACUCAUCGAGCGACCUGCCUCAAAGCAAGGCCGACUGAAGACGGGUGAGUCUGAAUCCACUCAGAGUAGAUAUUCAGGGGAAGAAGCCUUGAUUUUUGCUUUGAUUUACUGCUUUGUUAUUAUUGCAGUUGUUGUGCUGUUUCUACUUAAGGCUUGUGACGAUUUCUGUGGUGGGACAGAAAACAAAAUGGUUGAUAACUUGAAAUUUUAUAUGGCAGUUUUCUGCAUGUAGGAACAGCUUCAAAUCAUAGUGCUAGCUGGGGCCCCAUAUGGACUUGCCAUUGAAUUAAGAGUUAUUGGGUCAAGCUGUGCUGAUCCAAUAUUCUAUUCUUGCAAAUAGAAUCACAGAAUCAUAGAGCUGUUUGAGCUGGAAGGAACUCUGAGGGGUGAUCUAGUCCAGGAUUAAUAAUGAACAGGGACACCUACAGCUAGAUCUGGUUGCUCAGAGAAAUACUCAGUGUUAGGGCUCAACCUGAGCUCAGGCAGUGGUUUGGCUACCUAAAUAAGCUCUCUCAGGGCACUGGAGUCUUUCAGAUGACGUGGAUGGACUGUUUGUGUUCAAACAUCCAUGCGGUCUAGUUUACAGUAGAAAGACCUAUUAGGCUGGAGAAAAGGUCAAGCCUUAUUAAAAUCAAUAAGGCAUUUUCAGGUGUUAAUAGCAUGGCAGGAGAAUUGCCUGCAAGGGCUGUGGCAUUGUUUUGUACUCAAAACCCUCUCGGGGAAAAAAAAAAAGCAUUUGUAAUUUGUAAAACUGCAUGGUUUUAAUGUGCUUUGCAGCAAGGCAAGUGCAAUCGAUGCUUUUUUUUUUCCAGUCAAUAGCUAUUAUCUGAUGAUAUUUUGGAAUUUUAUUGAUAAACACAAGAGGCAUUUAUUACUGAAGUGAUUAUCUGCCAUUAUCACACACCUGAAUAUAUGCAGAGGUUUUACUGUAUCAGCAGAUGACAGGCCAAAACAUCCCUGCUGACAAUGGCCACCAGCUUAGUGCUUCCCUCUCAAUCUGAUAAUGAUGGCGUGGUGGUACAAGUGAUAGAGGAGAUGUCCCUCCAAACCAUCUGAAUAGGUAGGAAAUAAGCAAGUGGGGCUCCCAUCUCCUCCCAUCACCACACUCUGAAGCCAAUGGGUGAUGGGAAGGAGCAGGGGGCCUUUUGCCAUGCAUGCUUUCUUCCAAGGCUGCUGAAUAUCAGCUCCAACUUCUUCAUCCUGUGUUUUCAGGUGUCCUGGGGCAGCUGAGGAGAGCCACCACCAUGGUCACUGCACUGCUCUUGCUGGGCCUUUCGGCCCUGUUUGCUCCAUCCAUGAGCUACAGUUGCUAUGGUGAUAUCAGUGCUCUUCAAGCACCCACAGUUUCCUGCACAGCCGUAAGAGCCCAGGACUGCGGCCCUGCUGCUCUGAGGAGAACGGUGGAAGCGGACGUCAUCCGCUUGAGGAAAUACGAGGUGCCCAUUAAGAGAGUGGCCAGAAGGCUUUGCUUGGACCCGGCUCUCAUUGCUGCCAUCAUCUCUCAGGAGAGCCGCGCCGGCCUUCUGUUGAACAACGGCUGGGACCAGGGCCAGCAGCGGUACGGCCUGAUGCAGAUUGACAGGAGGUAUUAUCAGCCCUUUGGGACGUGGGACAGUGAGGAUCACAUAAACCAAUGUUCGAGCAUGCUGGUGGCAGGAAUCAACGAAAUGAGGGCAAGGCACCCUGCCUGGAGCUGGGACCAGCAGCUGCGAGGUGGAAUCUGCACCUACCAUGCAAGAGCCGGCAACCUCCAGAUGUACGAUGAAGACCCCUGCAGCAGAGAUAACAACUAUGUCAACAGCGUGAUCAGGAGGGCCCAAUACUUCAAGAGAAAUGGGUUCUAGCUCAGUGACCCCCUGCCACCGAGCCUCCACUACAUGUAGACUAGCCCAGUAGUGACAGUAGUACCCAGAGCCUCCCAGGGACCUGGCAGGACUGAUGUGCCUCACAGGGACAACAGAGCACAAUCUGGAGGCCUUUAGAAGUCAGACAGUGACAUCCAAGUGAUGCUAAAAUGUUGGGUGAGGACGCUCCUUGUAUCAGGAGCUGAACCUGGGGCUGUUCAUGCAUCUCCAGGUGGGGAUGCAAACAGCUCUCACUCAGCAUGGGCUGUGCUGCCCAUGUUCUCUCUUACAAACAGGAGGGAUAACCCCUUGAGUUUUCUCCCCUUUGAUAGUGCUGGCCACUUCCCAAUGAAGAGGCUCCUCUCUGAGUCUUCCAUCACUCCAUACACACCUGUCCCAGGAGCUAUGUCACAGCAUCAGUGCUGGUAACAACCUCAACAUCUUCCCUGCUUUGCCUUUGGAGCAUUUGUGCAUUGGAGCAUUGGAACCUGCCAAGUUUAAAAGCAUUCCAGCUUCUGUCCCUCUGUCCUGCCAGUUUGCCUGACUUCUAAUUAGGAGUGGGCAUCGUCAGUGGCAACCUGUGACUUAGGUAAUUAACCCAAUUUGGGAUUUUCUGAGAACAGAAAGAGGAAAACGGAGCAGCAGAGCAGCAGU